rnacentral:lncRNA from 1 species
AUUUUGUUUUGUGCGCGUGUGGGCGCCUGUGUGAUCGUCUGGCGGCACAUGAUUUGGACAUCCCUAACCUUGAAAUGGAGUUCUAUUUCAACUUGGACUCAGUUGCUGAACUGCAGUUUUUAUGAAAGAUCAAUGAGCAAUUGAGCCAUUAAAUGAUAUAUAAGCGACUUAUCGGUUAUAAAGUGCCAAUUUUCCGGAUGAUGAAAGAAAUAAAUUCAAAGUUCCUACUGACUUUUAUUAGACAGAGCUAGUGUUGAUUUGGCAUUUAUUAAGUUUGCUGCAAUUUUGCAAUCAGGAAUUGUCAUUCCUUUAGUUGCCUCGAGUUUUGCGUACUCCUUGUUGAUUCUUGAUCAUUCUGAGGGGAAAACGGGCGAUGUGUCAUUCUUAC